rnacentral:rRNA from 1 species
UACGGGGGUGCAAGCGUUGUUCGGAAUCAUUGGGCGUAAAGAGCGUGUAGGCGGCUGGAUAAGUCAGAUGUGAAAGCCCGGGCUUAACCCGGAAACUGCAUCUGAAAAUGCAGAACUUGAGUACUGGAGAGGAUAGUGGAAUUCCUAGUGUAGCGGUAAAAUGCGUAGAUAUUAGGAGGAACACCAGUGGCGAAGGCGACUAUCUGGACAGUAACUGACGCUGAGGCGCGAAAGCGUGGGGAGCAAACAGGAUUAGAUACCCU